rnacentral:rRNA from 1 species
ACGAACGCUGGCGGCAUGCCUAACACAUGCAAGUCGAACGAGACCUUCGGGUCUAGUGGCGCACGGGUGCGUAACGCGUGGGAACCUGCCCUUAGGUUCGGGAUAACUCCCCGAAAGGGGUGCUAAUACCGGAUAAUGUCUUCGGACCAAAGAUUUAUCGCCUUUGGAUGGGCCCGCGUUGGAUUAGCUAGUUGGUAGGGUAAAAGCCUACCAAGGCGACGAUCCAUAGCUGGUCUGAGAGGAUGAUCAGCCACACUGGGACUGAGACACGGCCCAGACUCCUACGGGAGGCAGCAGUGGGGAAUAUUGGACAAUGGGCGAAAGCCUGAUCCAGCAAUGCCGCGUGAGUGAUGAAGGCCCUAGGGUUGUAAAGCUCUUUUACCCGGGAUGAUAAUGACAGUACCGGGAGAAUAAGCUCCGGCUAACUCCGUG